CAUGCAGUUGGACAUUGGUUUUUUGGUUUUCAGCUGGGAUAAUUAUGCUGAGGAAAAGGCAGCCUGACUCAUCUGUCUCCCAUUUCUGCAAACUCCUUGUUGUACAUCCAUUGUGGAACCUGGAAGACUGAUCAAACUGCAUGCAUGAGAAAUUUCUAAGAAUCAACAAUAGUUGCUGGCAGAUAUUACUACAGCUCGUGUAAGCUUCUGACACUUUCAACGCCAACAUAACUAACAUCUGGUAUAAAUCCAUUUGAAGUACUGAACAUUUAAUACCAGACAACUGCAAAGGAACAAAUAAAAAAAAUCCACAGGGAUCAACCAUUUUAAUGUUUUGCACAGAAGGAGAAUGCUACUGGAUGGAAAAAUAUCCCACUGCAACCACCCUGUCAUGGUUCAGAUAGCUCCCCUGUAGAGACAUUCAAUCAAAAUUGCAGGUCAGGUCCGGAUGACAUUAUUCAACUAAAUCUAUAUAUUGAAAACAGUAUCCUGCUCCCAUCCCAAGGUGCCUGCUCAUCUGACCACUUUCAGCCAGGCAGCGUUGCUUAAAAUUUGGGUAAAAAUCUUGUUUGGGCAAGUAAUGCAGUAAAUUGGAAUCUACUCCAAAAGUUCACUUUCAAGAUGUAAUCCUCACUUCUGAGGACCUAAUCACAUGCCUAUAUCUGUAAUAAAGAUGUCUACAAGUGUGUUGUAAUUAAUUUCCUUGUAAUAUUAAAAAAAGUUUAUUCCACCUGUGAGCAAAUUACCUGAGCAAUCUUAAAAUGUGUUACUUGUGAAGUUAAUUUUGAUUUCAACACAUAUUGCUCCUUACACAAGCAAUAUGAUCAGUUUCUCAUCAAAGCUUACUGUUUAUUUUCAUUCACACUAUCAAGCAACCCAUGAACAUAAAUCAUGUUUCUGCUUUUAAAAAAAUAUUAAAAUCAUAGCAGCAUAAUCAGCAAAAGUACAAACAAAAAUAUGGAUUACGAUGGGUCAAACAGAAGGUUUAUUUGAUUCGGUUAACUGCAUUCAUUGAUGCUGCAACGUUAGGGGGAGAACUUCUCAUAUGUAAAUGGGUCAGUGACAUCAUAGUAACAGCCAUCCUUUAUGGAUUAGGUAAUUGGUUCCCAAAAACUUUAAAGAUAAAAUAAGAAAUAAUGUGACAUCAUUGCAAGAAGCAAGAGUGAAGCGGAAUUAAAUUUAAAAAUAGAUAACUAAGUAAAAAAGCCAUUUAAAAGAAAAUUGUCUUAAAAUUUGCUAAAAAUCCAGAUCAAGACUGCAACACAUUUAAGUUGUGAUCUCUUAACGAGUUGGUAAAAUUAAAAAUGUUUUUAUUUCAUGAAACAUUUAAAAAAAUCUAUUGCUUAACCCAUGCUCAAAACUAUAACCUUGAAGCUAUAGAGUUCCAUUAUUUAUCAACUGAGAUUUCUCAUAUGCUGCCUUUUUUAAUUUGUUCAACAAUUUUAGAUUAUGUUAGAUUAGAUUCCCUAC